GCGAGGGUGGCGGAAUUGGCAAACGCGCUAGCCUUAGGAGCUAGUGGGGAGACCCUUGAGGGUUCGACUCACUCCUCUCGCACCA
rnacentral:tRNA from 1 species